CACACACACACACACACACACACACACAGACACGCACGCACGCACAUGCUGGGCUGACUACUCGGAGGGCGGGGAGGCUCUGCGAGUCGCUGGAAGGAGCCGUUGCCUUGGACUCUGUGGGCAGCACCGGGAGGAGGCAGCAGCAGUAGAGAGGAGGGAGGCGUGUGCGCAGCGCUCCACCAGACAGCUCCUUCCCAGCUGCUUGGCCGGCAGUGCCCAGGCCGUCUGUACCAGCAUGGCCCUGCUUGUCCACCUCAAGAGCGUCUCGGAGCUGAGGGGCAAGGGCGACCGGAUUGCCAAAGUGACUUUCCGAGUUUGUAGAUCUUCCUUGGACAGGGAGUUCUGAGGUGGAGCUCGCAGUCAGGCAGCGGAGCCAGGGUGGCAGUUUUCUGUGGAGGAAUUUAAAGGCAAGGUUGGGAACUUCAC
rnacentral:lncRNA from 1 species